AGUGAACGCUGGCGGUAUGCCUAACACAUGCAAGUCGAACGGCAGCACAGUAAGAGCUUGCUCUUACGGGUGGCGAGUGGCGGACGGGUGAGGAAUACAUCGGAAUCUACUUUUUCGUGGGGGAUAACGUAGGGAAACUGACGCUAAUACCGCAUACGACCUACGGGUGAAAGCAGGGGAUCUUCGGACCUUUCGCGAUUGAAUGAGCCGAUGUCGGAUUAGCUAGUUGGCGGGGUAAAGGCCCACCAAGGCGACGAUGCGUAGCCGGUCUGAGAGGAUGAUCGGCCACACUGGAACUGAGACACGGUCCAGACUCCUACGGGAGGCAGCAGUGGGGAAUAUUCGACAAUGGGCGAAAGCCUGAUCCAGCAAUACCGCGAGAGUGAAGAAGGCCUUCGGGUUGUAAAGCCCUGUUGUUGGGAAAGAAAAACAGCAGGUUAAUACCUGGCUGUUCUGACGGUACCCAAAGAAUAAGCACCGGCUAACUUCGUG
rnacentral:rRNA from 1 species